CCUACGGGGGGCAGCAGUGGGGAAUAUUGGACAAUGGGCGAAAGCCUGAUCCAGCCAUGCCGCGUGUGUGAAGAAGGCCUUCGGGUUGUAAAGCACUUUCAGUGGGGAAGAAAGCCUUGGGGCUAAUACCCUCGAGGAAGGACAUCACCCACAGAAGAAGCACCGGCUAACUCCGUGCCAGCAGCCGCGGUAAUACGGAGGGUGCGUGCGUUAAUCGGAAUUACUGGGCGUAAAGCGCGCGUAGGCGGUCUGAUAAGCCGGUUGUGAAAGCCCCGGGCUCAACCUGGGAACGGCAUCCGGAACUGGCAGGCUAGAGUGCAGGAGAGGAAGGUAGAAUUCCCGGUGUAGCGGUGAAAUGCGUAGAGAUCGGGAGGAAUACCAGUGGCGAAGGCGGCCUUCUGGACUGACACUGACGCUGAGGUGCGAAAGCGUGGGUAGCAAACAGGAUUAGAUACCCUUGUAGUC
rnacentral:rRNA from 1 species